GCGGCCGGGAGAUGUACUUGUUGAACAAGAAUUCUUUCUCCAGCUCCAGCAACUGCGCGCGCGUGUAGGCGGUGCGCGUCCGCUUGGUCUCCUCCUGCUCCGCCGCGUAGGCGCCUCCUGCGGGCAACACAGUGUCAGGACCCCUGCCUGAGAGAAGAAGGAAUACUGUUUGGGGAAAGGUCGCCUGUGGCGGGACUAGGACACUGGCAACUCUGUAUUCCCAGGUCCUCGUCCCAAAUGCCGGCAAAGGGGGAAAGGGGAGCACCGGAGCUGAGAGGGCAGCGAGGAGGGGGCGGUAGUGCACACCAAGCCUUCCGAGUCUCCGGCCUCCCAGGUCCAAGCCUGGGCUGCCAGGAAGCAACAGGGCUGCGGGCAGCACCGUUGGUGUUUCUGCUGUGCUCGUUCCUCUAAGACCUUCUGGUCUUUUCCUUUCUGUGAGAAAUACUGACUGUACCCGGACUGUGGACACUAGAGCCCGAAGUUCCAUCAAAACUCUGGAAAGAAGCUUAAGUCGGUUUGUCCUACCAAAGGGAGAGGAACAUUUCUACUGUGACUCUUGGAGAAGCCUUAGGGAAUUGAAAGGCAAGUGUGUAUGUCUUUGGGAAGAGGGUUCAUUUUGCAAUGGGACCCUCCUGGAUAUCCCUCCAGGUCGAGAGGAGGAUCCAGAUGCCUAGGCAGAAAGCCAGACCCUGCUCCCAGCCGGGCACCUUACCAGGCCACUGGGCCUUCCUUAGACUGGCCAAGAAGUGGGGCGGGGGCUUAAUGAAGUAUUUUAAAAUGCCCUCCAAAGUUCUUACAUUCAACUAAAACCUUUUGGAUGGGGGUCCCGCCCUCUGUCCUCCUGCAGGCCUCCACCAUGGGGGUCGGGGGUGGAGGGUGGAGGGCUGUGUCCAGAGCGAGGUGGCUCCAGGUGGAGGUUAGGAUAGAGGCUGCUGGAGGCAUUAUGCCAAGAGGUCAAUGACGGGGUCUGGGCCCUCCCUGGAGGCUUAGAGUGCAGGAAGACUGGCCAGAGCAUCUGUUUCAGUUUAUUUAGAUCGAGAUUUUCAGAAAUCUGUUGUUCUUAGUAUUCAUAUUCAUACUGCAAAUGAGGGCCCUUUCCUCACUUCACUCUUCCUAGGGACAUGCCAGGAGGUGGGUCUGCGGCUUCUUGAAGUUCGGCUACUUCGAAAGUUGUCCCAGAGGAUUUGUAAGGUAUGUGACAACCUGGCAGGCGGCUUCCAGGAAACGGGAGGAGGUCGGCUCCUUUCCCGCGUGCUGAGAGCACAGUGGGUUACCAGGCGCCCGCACAGGCCUGCCCAGCCCCGACUCCCAGCUGGAGGAUCCACCCCCAGGCAAGGCUGCCUAUUUAUUUGCCUUUGGGUUUUCCUUCCUGGCUUCUUGGGUCCUCUCGAGCCCAAGCUCCUCUAGAAAGGAGCAAUGCCUUUUGGGUUAGAUAGAGAAGUUAGCCCACCCCAGCUACCCUCUCUCAGAGAGUCUCGCUCUUUUCGCAAAGAAGCCCCAUGUUUGGAGGGCAGGAGCCGCGAGGGCCCGGGGUGCCAGAAACACGCCAUCCUCCUUCCUCCCAAGAAUCCGGCAUUUCCCGAGACCUUGAGGCCUUUGGCCCUGGCUAUGUGGCAGGGAUGAGUACGCCAAGGAGCCGAGGCAGCAUGACAGCCUCGCCCGGGUUUCGCGGGAGGUAGAGUGACUGCAGCAGUUUGGGCCGAGUCUUCCUUCAGGACAUUAGAGAGGGGACUACGAAGAAGCAAACCCUGGGGACCCUGGGCGAGCCUGGAGCCCUCCACCCCCACCCGCCCCGCUUGGCUACGCCCCGGGUGGGACCAGAAGUGGCUGUCGCACGGAAGAGAUAACAUUGUGUAGGGCUGCGGCAUACACCACGCUGCAACUCACCAGCAGCUACGGGCGGAAAGUCCUUGGGAAAGGACUGUUCAGCGUUUACCGCUCCCGGCUCCCGCUCCAGCUCCCGGAAAGACUUUCUUUUAGGCACCGGCCCCUAGAGCCCGGGAACCCCGGGCUCCCGCCUCCUCGAGCCGGCUGUGGGGGAGGGCACAUCUCCUUUUCCAGACUUAACUUCCUGCGAAGCACUUCCAGAGACCCCCUUCGAAUGCUUUUGGUUGGUCAAAAUUGAAUUGGCAUCUCAAACACUUCCCCAGCUCUGGGCUUAGAAGACGAGUCCCCUCGAGGAGAGGAGCCUUACGCUCUGCACUGUUCUCAGAGGGAACCCACGGCUGGCGGGGAGGACCGACAGACUGCGGCGCCAUAGGCUCCGACGUGCCCCACGUGGCUCAGCCUGGGGCUGUUAUUGGCCUGGCUGAGUGCCUUAAGAGAGAAGGCCAGAUGCUGCUGACCUUCCAGGGCUGGGUGGUCCAACCAGCCUCCGACUGGAUCCUCUCGAAAUGAAGAUAUUUCUCCAGCCACCACAGAGGUUUUAGAAAAUCUGGACACUUGUGCAGAAAAGCCUGAGCAAAAGA